AGAGCGCGCGUCGCCAGUGGUGACGUCAUCAGGAACAGACGGGCGCCCGGAGCACGGCGGCGCGAGGAGGCGUCGGUUCACUGGUGCAGCAUGCGAGACAUCAUGACGUCCCGCAGCACUGCUGAGACAGGCAGAGCAGAGUAGCCAUGGCAGACGGCCAGAAGACAUCAAAGAAGGCGCUAUUAUUAAUAUAAACCAAAUGGUGAAAUCCGGGACUCUUAUUCUUAAAAAACUACGUUUCCCAUGAGCAUCGUUACCGGAAACACGACAUCUCCGGGAAUGACAACUUCCGGUUAAACAAGGAAGAAACAAUGCAAACGGACUACAUUCCCCAGAAACCUUGGGAGCGGACAUGAAGAGCAGAGAGUCCAUUCAAGUUAUAGGACUAACGGACUACAUUACCCAUGAUGCUCAGCGAUGCCGGACUUCCGGUCCGGCGAAAAAUCUGUUUGUAAAGCUAUAUUUAAAUCCUUGACUUAUAUUAUGCUAACAGAAACACAAGGAGAAUAAUUGUAAAAAAAUUGUAUAUGUUUUGUAAUCCUCUGCGGAAGCGGCAAGGAGGAUUAAUAUUAAAUUAUGUAAUUUAAUUUAUGACAUCACUUCCUGCUAAUUUCUGAUUGGACAACCGUCCUUUAAAUAUCAGGUCACGACCACACUCCAUUAUGUCUCGAUAAAGGCCCAGGCCAGGGCUGAAACGCGUUGACAAGCAGGAGUGUGAGUAGUGACAAUCUAUUUUCCGGAUUUUUAUCAGUUCUUUUUAUUUUUUCAUUUUAGAUUUUUUCUUGUUAUUUAACCUAAGGGUCAUCCCGCUUUCUCGGGACUCCCUAAUUUUUUCCUUGCCGGCUCUGCCUAGGAAUUGUUUCAUUCUGUAUAUUGUGGUUUUUAUGGACUCAAUACAGUCUGUCUACAUCUGUGAGUCUUAUUAAAACAUUUUUUGUACCCCCCUA